rnacentral:rRNA from 1 species
UACGUAGGUGGCAAGCGUUGUCCGGAUUUACUGGGCGUAAAGGGCGUGCAGGCGGUCUGUUAAGUUCAGGGUGAAAGCUCCCGGCUCAACUGGGGGAGGUCCUUGGAUACUGGCAGACUUGAGGAGGGUAGAGGAGAGUGGAAUUCCCGGUGUAGUGGUGAUAUGCGUAGAUAUCGGGAGGAACACCAGUGGCGAAGGCGGCUCUCUGGGCCCUACCUGACGCUGAGACGCGAAAGCGUGGGGAGCGAACCGG